UACGGGGGAAGGGCAGUCGUUGUCGGAAUUACUGGGCGUAAAGGGCUCGUAGGUGGCCAACUAAGUCAGACGUGAAAUCCCUCAGCUUAACUGGGAACUGGCGUCUGAUACUGGAUGGCUUGAGUUUGGGAGAGGGAUGCGGAAUUCCAGGUGUAGCGGUGGAAAUGACGUAGAUAUCUGGAGGAACACCGGUGGCGAAGGCGGCAUCCUGGACCAACACUGACACUGAGGAGCGAAAGCCAGGGGAGCAAACGGG
rnacentral:rRNA from 1 species